rnacentral:rRNA from 1 species
GACGAACGCUGGCGGCGUGCUUAACACAUGCAAGUCGAACGGAAAGGCCCUGCUUUUGUGGGGUGCUCGAGUGGCGAACGGGUGAGUAACACGUGAGUAACCUGCCCUUGACUUUGGGAUAACUUCAGGAAACUGGGGCUAAUACCGGAUAGGAGCUCCUGCUGCAUGGUGGGGGUUGGAAAGUUUCGGCGGUUGGGGAUGGACUCGCGGCUUAUCAGCUUGUUGGUGGGGUAGUGGCUUACCAAGGCUUUGACGGGUAGCCGGCCUGAGCGGGUGACCGGCCACAUUGGGCCUGAGAUACGGCCCAGACUCCUACGGGAGGCAGCAGUGGGGAAUAUUGCACAAUGGGCGGAAGCCUGAUGCAGCAGCGCCGCGUGCGGGAUGACGGCCUUCGGGUUGUAAACCGCUUUCGCCUGUGACGAAGCGUGAGUGACGGUAAUGGGUAAAGAAGCCCCGGCUAACUACGUG